AUGAUGGAUGAGGGGUUGUUUGAAUGUAGUUGCCACUACUUUGAGAUGAAUGGCCUGAUUUGCGCACAUAUAAUAAGGGCAAUGGUGCAUCUGAAUGUUCAAGAAAUUCCGCAACAAUACUUGUUGGAGAGGUGGUCUGAAGCAGCCACAACAAGCAUGGGCAGGACUGGCCGAUUGCUGGACUUCGGGCACCCCUCAACAAACACAUUGAAAUACAACUCCUUGUGUCGAAGGUUGACAUGGCUCGCCUCUAAUGCAUGUUGCAACGAUGAUGCCUACAAGAUAUUAGAUGAAGCAAUAACAGUUCUUGAGCCUGCCAUAGCAGCGGCAAACAGAGGAGCGCUGUCAGGGCAACAAGCAACGCAACAGAGUGAACCCCCAACACCACCUGCUGCCGCAACAGGAACAUAG
rnacentral:rRNA from 1 species